rnacentral:rRNA from 1 species
AGAGUUUGAUUAUGGCUCAGGAUGAACGCUAGCGGCAGGCUUAACACAUGCAAGUCGAGGGGCAGCGGGGAGGAAGCUUGCUUUCUCCGCCGGCGACCGGCGCACGGGUGAGUAACACGUAUGCAACCUGCCCCUGUCAGGGGGACAACCCGCCGAAAGGCGGGCUAAACCCGCGUACAUGCCACCGGGGCAUCCCGGAGGCAGGAAAGGCUUCGGCCGGACAGGGAUGGGCAUGCGGCGCAUUAGGCAGUAGGCGGGGUAACGGCCCACCUAACCGACGAUGCGUAGGGGUUCUGAGAGGAAGGUCCCCCACACUGGUACUGAGACACGGACCAGACUCCUACGGGAGGCAGCAGUGAGGAAUAUUGGUCAAUGGUCGGGAGACUGAACCAGCCAAGCCGCGUGAGGGAGGAAGGUACAGAGUAUCGUAAACCUCUUUUGUCAGGGAACAAAGGCGGGGACGUGUCCCCGGAUGAGUGUACCUGAAGAAAAAGCAUCGGCUAACUCCGUGCCAGCAGCCGCGGUAAUACGGAGGAUGCGAGCGUUAUCCGGAUUUAUUGGGUUUAAAGGGUGCGCAGGCGGUCUGUUAAGUCAGCGGUCAAAGCCCGGGGCUCAACCCCGGCCCGCCGUUGAAACUGGCAGUCUC